GUUGGAAGAAGCUGACUUGCUAAGCCUUAGCAAUCCCAAGUGGAAGCGCUACAGAUUUACCAAUGGAAACUACACUGCUUAUCCAGAACUUGAACAAGAAGGGCAAUUCGAUCAUUGUGGAGGGGAAGGUGGUACGAGGAGCCAAGAGUUUUGGAGACUAUACCGAAACCGGGCUAUCAACUUAAGGCUCUCCUUCAAGCCGAGAUUAGAUGGAUUUUUCGGCUGAACACCACGAUUCCUCAUGGUCUCAACCAUGAUAUUGAAUUCUCGUGCUUCUUACAUUGCGGCCUGAAGAAAGACAUUUUUGGUCUGAAAUGAGCGAAGAAAUUGCCAGCUCGUACUCGUUGCCACCCAUCUACUUGGCUACCUACUUAUCUGGAGCGUUGUCUUCGGACAACGCGUCACGUCACAACCUGUAUCUACAUGAACUGUAUAUUUAUACAUUGUGAUGAGAGAUUGACAGCUACUGGGACCUUGAGCAAUUAUAUUGUAGUGACUGUAGAUUUUUCAGGAUGGCCAAGUCUGCAGUGUCUUUCAUGUUCUUUUAUUCUUGUCUGGAUGCUACGCUGUGUGGUCCCGAUGUAAACUUGUCCACAGCUGCAGGGUAUACGGUAUACUCCUGCAGAGUUAGUGAAGCAUCUGAGACUCCAUCCCUACAAUACAGCCCUCCCAUUUGAGUAAAAAUCCUUUUUGAAUA